AAAAUAAAAACGCCUAAUUUCCAAAUGAAAACGGGGGAACCGUUCUUUUGGGGUGAACUACCAUUGGUAGCGGGCUAACUUUCGGUCCGAACCCGUCAGCUAACUCCGUAGGCGUAGAAAGUGGGGAAGG
rnacentral:sRNA from 2 species